rnacentral:antisense_RNA from 1 species
UGUGGGAGCGGGCUUGCUCGCGAAUACGGAAUGUCAGUCAAUACAGCUGUGACUGAUCCACCGCUUUCGCGAGCAAGCCCGCUCCCACA